AGGGAAAGUAAGUAAGCAGUAAGCACGAAGGUUAAACUUUAAACUCCGAAGAAUUCUUUUGCUGGAAUAUGGUUUAAAGUUAUCCAGGCCAUUUACCUGAGUGUAGUGUUCCUUCAGGUGGGCCCCCGUGAAUACCUGUUUUCACAGUUGACAUAAGGUCACACACAAAUUUCUUCCCCAGGAAUUUAACAAUGAAGAGAGUUUUGCGGUUUGCUGAGUUGUGACUGGAUCUUAUCAGACUAUAGUGAAUGAGCCGAUCACAUCCUGAUCGCUACAAGGUAUUUUGAACCAUCUCCCUUUAA